UCCAGCGGCGGAUAAAACCGACAUCAAAUCUGCACCGUUGGCUUUGUAAACAGUCGUAAUACUGUACCAUCGUCUACGUGUAGCGCGUUACACGGUAUCUCCGUUUCGUUAAUCUCGAUUGCGCCGCGUCGCGAACAACUGGGCGGUUCAAAUGUAAAGGGAGGGGAGGCCGGCGAAGUUUGUUCCUCGUUCGCUUUUUCGUUCCCGCUAUGCUCCCCUCCUUUCUCUUCCGAUUCUUGCUUUCCCUUCCGGGCUUCAAGAAGUGACGUAUCGAGAAAUGAUAUACUGGAAGAAGCCAAGAAUGGACAUAGAAGCCAAGAAUCAAGGGCUUCAAGAAGUCAAGUGCAUGGCUUGUCCAAAUCAACUGGUUGCCCUGGCAAUCUCCAAAAGAAUAUGAACAAUCUUGGUCAUGUCUGUAUAACAGGCUGCACAACCUUUUUCAUAAGAAGGUGACCAUAGUAGAUGGGUGGUGGUGCUUUGAAAGGCAUGCCUAGGCACAGGGUGCAGGUGAAGUUCACCCCAAGCACCUCGCUUAGGUCAUAAAUAGGCGCAAACAUGAACACCUUGGUGAAGCCCUAAGGCACCAAAAAGGAUGUUCGAGAAUAUUGUUUCCUCUCCUCGAUUCAUCCUGGAACGGGCAACCUUGCAAACUGCAGAAUUAAUCCAUUCGACUACCAUUGGAGGUACGGGGACAGCAUGGAACACCUGGGAUUCCGCAUCAGCAUCUUAUGCUCCUAGACUGGUAUUCAUUACUUGGGAACCCCCAUCCUCUUGCUUUCUCAAAAUUAACUUCGAUGGGAGUGUUGUGGAUGGUGGAAGAAAAGGCGGUGUAGGUUUUGUCAUUCGAGGCCCAAACUCUAGUUUAAUAGUGGUACGGGGAAAGCAGCUUUUUGAUAUUUUAGUACCAAGGGCGGAAUUAAGAGGGGCAUGGGAAGGACUCAAAUAUGCUGUACUGAUUUUGAAGGCCAACCGUACCUUCCUUGAAGGUGAUUCAGCGACGGUGGUUGGUUGGAUCCCGAGAUGGACUAAGUACACUAUGGAAGCAUCUCUUGUUGUUAGACAUUUGGAGGCUUUCCAAGCAAUGUGUGGCUUUCCAUGCAAAUCAUGUUUAUAGAGAAGCUAAUGGAACGACUGAUUGGAUGUUUGCGGAGCAUUCCAAUGGGAUUUUAUGGUCUAACUCAAAUUGUACUCCUCUAGAAUUUUGUGACAUUUUACUUUCAGAUUCUCUUGGAUGUACUCAUACUCGUUGGGUAUGAACAAUCCUGAUUAUCAAAAAAAAAAAGAGAGCAUUUGAUAGCAAUAUUUAUAACACUAUUAACAAUAUGGUAUUAUCACGAACACCUAUGUCCAGCCCACUUGAAAUUGACAUCCAACAUGACCAUCUGUGAAAACCUACCUUUCUGCUGGUUUUGAUGCAUGCAAUUUCUUUUCUCCUGUGGCUCAUGUGAGAUGGAUGCAGUUUCCUGUCUCCUGUGACUCGUUUGAGAUGGUUGAAUAAUCAAAUGUUAGAUGUCUUGUGGAGUGUUUGCUACACAGUGUAAGGUUUUCUUUGUAGCAUUUAGGUGCCUACUACCACUAGUAUGCCCACCUUAUUCUUAUUGAUAAAGCAUAUAGUCAAGUGUGUAGAUUACAAGCUAUGUUCCUUUGUUCCCAAAAACGGAAAGAAGAGAAAAUUAAAGAAAAGAAGCACCACAUUGCCUUUGUCUAACUACAAGCACCGCAACACUAGCCAACCUGAUCUCAUCAUUGUGGUUUUGGUGAGUUACAGAAGUUUGGCAAUGCUGUUUUUGCCUACUCCUAGAUGUUGUGCUAACCCUAUAUAAAGUGUUGUGUAUCUUAACAGAGGCGACUUAAACAAGAGGCUCCAAUGAGACCCAUAAGGUCUACCAGCAAGCAGUUAUUGCAAACUUUAAUCUUCAAGCAAUCAGGGAAGAACACUUCAGUGUUGGAAAGAAUUUAGACAGAGGGAAGUAGGUGAGUUUUAAGAUGUAAAACUGUAUUCAUAUCCGGGGCACGAAUUAUAUGCAAGCCAAAUCCGAACACAAUCUUCGUAAGCACACUUUCAUCUUCAUGUUUUUUCUCCAUCAGCAUUAUACAGUUCAAACAGGAUACAUUAAACUAUGGGAAUUUGGAUGAAUGCAACAGUACUUUAUAUGACGUGGAUGUAUUCAUAUUCUCUUUCCUGCGAAAUGCUUUCAGAUCAAAUUUGUGCAAUUUUCCUGACAGAGCUCCCCAAGUGGAUGUAUGAGAGUUCUCAGCAGAUUUCGUUCCCAAUAAUGAUCUAGAAGUUGCAUGGUGAUGAGCAGAAUCAAUGUCCUGUAUAGAUUCCUCCAAAAAGCGUUAAGAUGGCAGCCCUAAAGUUGACUUUUGGAUGAUCCCAAUGUCUUUGGGUUUAUCGUGCGAUAACAAGGAUGGUUAUGAGGAUGUCAUAGGCAGUGAUUGACUGAUAUACUGGGAUGUUUACAAACACCAGAUCAGAUCCAAAAAAGAUCCAUUUCUUGGAUCUUAGCAUGUCAUACUAAAGCGGGUCUAGAGAUUGGACUUUGACUUGAUCCCGAAGGUCUAAAUUUCAUUCUAGAUAAGAUAUGCCCUAGUCAGAACUAUGUCUAUAUCAUCCUUUCGGAACCUAUCUCUGCCUUGUGAUAUAUUUUGUUUUCAAGUGCCUAUUGGUAAGUAUAGAAAAUCACCAUAGCAGAAAAAAAGAGCCUGUCCCUUCCAUCUUAGGUCAGCAAUAAAAAAAGAAGGGAGCAAAAGAGAGAAGAUCGAAGCAAGAUCAUAGUCUAAAAUUUAUACAGUGCUAUCAUACAAUAGUUGCAUGGUGACACUGAUUGAAAAUUAUGUCAUUUUCACUAUUAUCUUAUUUAUAGUACGGUGAGCAGUUUAUUUUAAACUUUAUCUGGUAUAUACUUGGGGGUCACUUAUGACAAAGCUAACCAAUCAUCAGUUUUGUGAGGAUAAUCUUCUCUAAGAGUCCAGGGCAAAUGGUUUGUGAAGCUGAUAUUAAGAUAUGUAUUUUUCCUGAAAAAGCAGAAGAGACCUGUAAUAUCUCAUAAGUUUGCCAAGAUUCCACCUAUUUAUUGACAUGUGCUAAAUUUGAUGUUUUAAAUUAAUAGUCUGAUUUUACUUCUCAUUUUCAAGGUCCUACUCAUCAGUUUAUUAUGUUUCGAUACACUAAUUUGUGGAUGAUUACAAGUUUAGGACUUUUAUCUUCCUUUGGCUGGUCAACCCCGAUAAUUAUAGUGACUUCCGCGGCUUAAUUGUCAAGUUUUUUUGUCUUGAUUAACCAAUUGCCCAUCAAAGGUAUUAAAGUCUUGCUUGUACCUCUUACAUUGAUGAAAUGAUCUUGUUGAACAUAAUAAAAUGUGUGGAAUCUGUAUUAAUCUGCUUGUAAAACCAAUCUGAAAUUUUGUCAUUUCAUUAUAUAGUUACGUGCUUUUUUUUUUUGUUGAAGAAAGUUACUCAAAUUUCAGCAUUCUUUUUGUUUUUUUUUUCUUUCUGUUGGAGUAAUGUCCUGACUUUUUUGAAAUUUUUCUUAGUUACAACGGAAAUAUGAGCUUGAUGGGAUUGUAUCAAUAUAUUGAAUCAAACAAAAUAUUUUAUUCCUAUCUACAUACAGGAAGUAAAGUAUGAUGCUCGUGGAACCACCAGAACUAUGCAUCAUGCACAUCAGAGCUGCUGUACCUAAACAGUGUCAUGUAUAUGGGGAAUGUGUUCUCCCUACAUAAAGUCUUCCAAAUGUCAUUUUGGAUUCGAUUGUUAUUGGAAAUAUCCCUUUUCAUUUACUUGAGGAAGGCUACAUUCAUGUUUUGCGCGUGGAAUGUAUUCCAUGAUAGCUAUUGUUGGUGGUAGGAGCACGAGAAUGGUUCAGAAUCUAUGCUUGCUGCUUCUGUAGUCCCAUGAGGGGACCAAUUUGGUAACAACUAUUGUGUAGGAAGGUGCUGAUCUUGCCACCUGGCACCACCUGUGUUGAUCAUGUUGCUGCAAUUUAGAGUCCACCUCACUAACAUGAAUAACAAACCUGAGAAUUUCGCUUUUUCCAUCAUUUUCCAACUCAAAUUUGCCAUUCGGGUAUAUCAUCCAGGUUAAGAUUCUCUUAUCGACAUUGGAGAAAUGAUGGGAGAGCAAGAAUCGUGAUCGUUACGCCAAUUAUGCAUUGCAUCCCACAGCUGUUUUCCCUUUUAACAAAGGAAUGGAUGGGGCCAAGUGCUAGAAAGAAACUGAAACUGAAAACAAUUGGAGGGAGCUGCUAGAAAUAUCUCUCUAUUCUCCUUGUUUAUGGACGCAGAAUAAAGAGAGCAUCUCCUAUGUCUAUUCUCAUUCUCUCUCUCUAUCCCUUUUUUCGUUUUUGUGCUUAGAAGUUGAUACAAAGGCAUGACGAGGACUAGUAAUUGAUUGCUGAUUUUUUCUGCAUCAUCUUUUAUUGGCUUUUGGUUUCUGAUCAUUUGCUGUGGCAUUUAUUCUGUCUCCAAGGUUGUAAAGCAAUGGGUGGUGUCUUACUUUCUUGGCCAAUGACAUGCAGGUUAUAUGCACGUGGAGAGAAGUAGCUGUCACUGGAAAAUGUUAAUUGAAUUGUGUAAUGAGCUUUGACUCAGAGCUGAAAGACUAGCUUGUUUUUAUUUUUUUUUAUUUUAAAGGUUAAGGGAGGGUUAAAACCCAUCAAAUUUAUUAAUGGAGAUUUACAUUAGAAGAAAAACAAACUUCCUUCAGCAAACUCAUGCUACUUGUCACUGAAUCUUCAAGCUAAUGCUGAUUGGGUGCAGGAGUAAGUGGAGCAACUGGCCUUGAAACGAGAUCGAAAGCUUUGCAGCAUUUAGAAUUACCCAAUAAAUCUCGGUCUUUGAGCAGAAACAAUGUACUACAGUUAAUGACUCUCCGCUGUUAUUGCUGUUUCAGAAAAUCCUUUUCCGAGGAGGCCAGCUUAGGCAUGUUGCAAUGGACGAUUGUGUGGCCUAGAACUGAGAGGUUCUCCGUAGUCUUUUAUCAUGGUGUCUAUGUUUGCAUGGUACAUAAGUAAUUGUCUGGCCAUUUGUAAAUUUUGAUUAGUCUUUCUAAACUAUUACCUUGUCAUCGUAACACUCUGCGGUGUAAGAAGGGGCCAUCAUUGACCAUGGUAUGAAUUUUCCUUGCUAUCAUCCUUGUUUUCUGCAUCACCAAAGAUUUAGGAGCAUCGCAUGGUUGUACAGAUUUGGAUAUGGGGAACCGAGCCGAGGAAUUAAAAAGGAUAUCAUCUUUUGUACCAAUUUUUCCAACAUGAUUAGGAUUUAUUUGAUGUGAUCUGUACUAUUUUUUCUGCUUAAAUUCACCUGCCUCACGACAUGGGCGGUGGUACAAUCUCUUGGCUUGAAUGAUGUGGCAAUAAAUAAUGCUCUACAUUUUUAUGUGAGCUGCUCUCUCUUUUUGCAGGGCUUCUCUCCGAUUAAGGCCUCGAUGUGGGUUUCCUUACCCUCUUACGGAUGCCAAAAGAAAUGAGAGGAUGGGGUUUGCUUUGAAAGAGUGGGGGAUAGACAGGGGAAUUAGUUACUGACCUGUGAAUGGAGACAUCAAUAUAAAGGAGGAGGAAUCUAGCCAAGUAUCCUGUGGCAAUCUCUGGGAUACCUAGAUGAACAAUUUUAUCAACUAGAAGAGUUGCAAGAUGAAGCAAGCCCAAAUUUCGUGGAAGAAGUUGUGACUUUGUUCUUCAGUGACUCAUCUAGAUUGGUGGCCAGCAUCGAGCAGGCUCU